GUGUUUAUACUUGUUUUCGUGCUAUCGAAAUUAUUUUAGAGAAAUUUCGGGGAAAAAACUGUAGGUAAAAUUACUGUCGUUGAAACGAUUCUUUGGUUACAUCACUUUUGGCGAAAUAACUUAUGACACAAUGACUGUUGGUCUACUGUCUUUCUACUGUAUGUUUAUGUAACUUUCUGUCGGUCUACUGUAUGUCGGUCUAUUGACACAGAAAACCAGCAGGGCGGUUUCCGUUUCAGAGCUGAAGGUCACUCUCAAAGAUAAAUUCUCGCCACGGGUUGUCUGUCCUUAAUACUAUCAGUUAGAGAUAUCCCUUGGGCCUUCAAGGACUGUCCAGGAAGGUAUAUAUGUCAAUGUGGUUCUUUCAUUACAUCGAACUAUAGCUUAGUGGAAUACUGAGGGAACUUGGACGGCAGCAAAUUGCAACGAUCAUUUAUUUUGCUGAUACAAAAUAAUAUUGGAUAAAAGAUGAAAGGCAACUUCCUUUUCCUUUUCUGUUGUAUAAUCGCUCUGGCAGCAUUUGAAGUUGCGAAUGCUGAAUAUCGCCAAAGAAGAAGUCCCAAUAUCAUUUCAUCGGUGUAUGGUACAAUCGUGAAUUCAACAAGCGCUAUAUUUAGAACCAUUUUUGGUUUUCUUGUAUAACUGGUUGUGAUUUGAAAGCAUUCUUCUAUCACGAUUAACGAAAGAAAAAUCUUUUGUUGGAACUCGGCGAUCUUACCACGUGUCUUGAAUAAUUGCAACCUUUUUUGAGUCUGUAUGUAAUUUUAAUAAAAUAUUUUAAAUUUUGAUUUCUAUGACCUGACCACAAAAAUAGACAGAAAGAACAAAAUUAAUAUUGCUAAAGACGGCACUGAUUAUUCACUAUACAAUUUUGACAUCUUAAUUUACUUUUUAUUUCCACUUCUUAGGAGAACAACCUAAAAUUGAUUAAUAUAUUAAAUUUACAAAGCAUUUAUACGAAUCACCAUAUAUUUCUGGUUUGAUUUCAUAGUUUAUCACGUUAUUUAAUCAUAAACAUUUCCUAAGUUAUCACCUCCAUUAUAAAUGGAUAAUUUAGAACGUUUAUUUUUGAUGAUAGGGACUAAGUAUUUUAUAAAAGUUAAUUUCAUUAAUAGUGUUUCCCUCUUGAUCAAACUCUUUCUGUUACACUUUUAAUAUUUAUUCACGGUCAAUGAAUUUAAACAGUAUUUUGUUUCUCAAUAUCAAAAUGUCAUGAUAACACUCUUUUUAUGAUAAUUUAUAAACCUCUAAAAAAUGAUAAUGCCAAUCAUCUUGUAAAAUAAAGAGCCUAUAUUUAUAUGGUUUGAGAGAUAUAAUUAUGGUCAGCGACUGCAUGUGUGUACUGAAUACUGGCUUCAGUUCAGUGUAAGUACCACUUCAUGAAAAUUCACAUAUGCUCAAAUUAGGCUUAGUGUGUUAACCUACAGCAACUAUAAAGAAAAUUGGAAUUUGUAAAAUAUUUAAUAGAUAAAAUUAUGUAUCAAAUUAUUCUUAGAAAGGCAUGUUUGCUUUACCUUUAUUAUAAAAUAAAUGUGUUGAACAUGUAAAUAAGUUUUUUGUGCUAUUUUUAAUAUGCUUAUAAACUGUACUGUGAAAAUGUUUUAUUUAUUCAAGAGAUGUAGUUAACUGUUUAACUUAAAAAUGAAAAUCACCCAGAAUGUCCUUAUUUAUACCUGAAUUUUAAAAUAAAAACAGAAUUAAACUGGUUUGGUUCCACA